rnacentral:rRNA from 1 species
AACGCGAAGAACCUUACCCAGGCUCGAAAUGCAGGUGACGAUACCAGAGAUGGUAUUUUUCGAAAGGACACCUGUAUAGGUGCUGCAUGGCUGUCGUCAGCUCGUGCCGUGAGGUGUUGGGUUAAGUCCCGCAACGAGCGCAACCCUUAUCAUUAGUUGCCAACACGCAAGGUGGGGACUCUAAUGAGACUGCCUAGGUUAACUAGGAGGAAGGUGAGGAUGAUGUCAAGUCCGCAUGGCCUUUAUGUCUGGGGCUACACACGUGCUACAAUGGUCGGUACAGAAGGUAGCAAGACCGCGAGGUGGAGCAAAUCCGUAAAACCGAUCUCAGUUCAGAUUGUAGUCUGCAACUCGGCUACAUGAAGCUGGAAUUGCUAGUAAUGACGUGUCAGCAACAACGUCGUGAAUACGUUCCCGGGCCUUGUACACACCGAGACGUA